ACCAUCGUUUUACAAAAAGCGACUGUUUCCUUUCGGUAUUGGAAUAGAAGUAACACUAUAGAAGAAGUCCGGGAAAUGCAAAUACUAGAUUUACUGUGUACACAUGAUUUUCAUGUAAAUAUCUGAUUUAUAUUGGAAUAUUUCCAACUGAGAUUGAAUAUCUCUAAAGUGAAGAUACGAAGAGGACUUCCAUAUUGCCUGUAGAUGUCUGUUGUGCCUGUUGUUCAGUAAUGGAGUAAACAAUUUCAGCAGAUGUAGGAGUUUUACAUAGAUUCCGAUACAAUUUGGGCAAGGAUGAUCCAACAGUUUCAAAAUAUGGCGCCGUCGUUGUUUGCAAUACUGCUGACGAUAACAAAUCUUUGCUCAAAAAUGCAAAACAUUCGAGCAGAGGAUACGAUAAAUCCUCCUUACAUAAUUGAAACGCAUAUAAAUGGGC